rnacentral:rRNA from 1 species
ACAUGCCUACAUCAUAGUGUUAAUGCAUCGGAUCCCAUUAGAACUCUGUAGUUAAGCGCGCUCAAGCUAGAGUAGCACUGGGAUGGGUGACUGCCUGAUAAGUCCUAGUGUUUUACAUGCC